UGGACUUUUUCUCUACCUUUGAAUCCACUCCAACGCAAUGACAGUGGUCGAUAUUUUUGUAAAGUGUUCCUGGCGAUACCUGAGGCAAAAUUUCUGGGCAACGGAAGUGGCACAUUUCUCACAGUAGUAGCAGCAAAUUCAACGUCACUUGGAGCCAAAGAUGAGCCCUCUCCAGUUGUAGUUUGGACAUCAGUGUUGGCGGCCGUUUUGUUCGUGGGAACAGGUUGUGUGAUCUACUGCAAACGUAAAGGGGAAAAAAGAAAGGAUGGGAUAGAGGAGCGAUGCCGUGAACAGAUGACACGAAAAGGAAGUGGGAACAGCAGAGCCGAUUCUAAUGGACGGGAUUCGGAGUCACAAGCAACUGCUGCCCUGCCCGCACCGGUUGAGACUGAGGUCCUUUACGCAAAACUCAACAUUCCAUGCUGUCCAAACGCUCAUGAGAAA